rnacentral:rRNA from 1 species
GAUGAACGCUGGCGGCGUGCCUAACACAUGCAAGUCGAACGAGAUGCGUAUUAGAAAGCUUCGGCCGGAAGAUGCGUUAUCUAGUGGCGGACGGGUGAGUAACACGUGGGUAACCUGCCUUAUGGAGGGGGAUAACAGAGAUAAAUCACUGCUAAUACCGCAUACGCACACAUUACCGCAUGGCAGAGUGUGAAAAGAUUUAUCGCCAUAAGAUGGACCCGCGUCUGAUUAGCCAGUUGGCAGGGUAAAAGCCUACCAAAGCAACGAUCAGUAGCCGAUCUGAGAGGAUGAGCGGCCACAUUGGGACUGAGACACGGCCCAAACUCCUACGGGAGGCAGCAGUGGGGAAUAUUGCACAAUGGGGGAAACGCUGAUGCAGCGACGCCGGGUGAGUGAAGAAGUAUUUCGGUAUGUAAAGCUCUAUAAGCAGGGAAGAUAAUGACAGUACCUGACGAAGAAGCCCCGGCUAACUACGUG